UACAGAGGGGCCGAGCGUUAUGCGGAAUCACUGGGCUUAAAGCGUGUGUAGGCGGACUUCUAAGUCCCUUGUGAAAUCCCACGGCUCACCCGUGGAACUGCUGGGCAUACUGGGAGUCUUGAGCCACCUAGGGGCGAGCGGAACAAAUGGUGGAGCGGUGAAAUGCGUAGAUAUCAGGUGGAACGCCAACGGAGAAAUCAGCUCGCUGGGGGUGUGCUGACGCUGAGACACGAAAGCCAGGGGAGCGAACGGG
rnacentral:rRNA from 1 species